GUGGGGAGAUUUGACAGAGGCGUAAGAGAAGAAAAUGAAUUACUGGAUGGAACAAAAGAGAUAUUCAACCGGUCGUAAAUUGGUUUUUAUCUUAACAGCCUUUGAAGUGAAAAUACGUGAUGCCACGAAGAACGCGAGUAAAACUGGGUUCUGUAGAUUCACGAGCAGCGUUAAUGCGACUUAGGCGAUCACGGGCAUAUGAUGAUGGAAUGCAAAGUAGCAAAAAACACAUGGAAUAGUCGCGCCUUAAUUUGUUUGUUAAUUCGAAUGAACUUGACAGUUUAGGAAUUUGUUGCAGAUGC